rnacentral:rRNA from 1 species
GACGGAGGAUGCAAGCGUUAUCCGGAAUUAUUGGGCGUAAAGCGUCCGUAGGUGGCAGACCAAGUCUGUUUUUAAAUAGUGCAGCUCAACUGCAUAAGGGGAAUGGAAACUGGUCAGCUAGAGUUCGGUAGGGGCAGAGGGAAUUCCCGGUGUAGCGGUGAAAUGCGUAGAUAUCGGGAAGAACACCAGUGGCGAAAGCGCUCUGCUGGGCCUGAACUGACACUGAUGGACGAAAGCUAGGGGAGCGAAAGGG